rnacentral:misc_RNA from 1 species
AAGUCGUAACAAGGUUUCCGUAGGUGAACCUGCGGAAGGAUCAUUACAGAGUUCCUGCCCUCACGGGUAGAAACCCCACCCUUGUGUAUGUUAUAUUUGUUGCUUUGACAGGCCGCCUUUAGGCGCUGGCUUCGGCUGUGCUGUGCCUGUCAGAGAACCCCAAACUUUGAAUGUUAGUGUCGUCUGAGUACUAUAUAAUAGUUAAAACUUUCAACAACGGAUCUCUUGGUUCUG